rnacentral:lncRNA from 1 species
GAAGUGGCGGUGAUCUUCAUAUUGGGAAGAUUCCGAAAUGCCUGUAUUACCACGCAUGGAGCAAUGUUGGAUGAGAAGAGGACAGAGAUCAUGUAGUUUCUGUGAAGUGAGGUGGCGAAAUUUCACAGCUGUCAGAACACUAGAUGAGAACUUUUUGAAAUGUUUUGGUUAAUGCCGAGAAACAUCUUUAUAACGAUCAUAGUCAAAGCAUGCUUGUUGGCGAAAUCAUUUUUUACAAUCCAAGGGAAGAUUUCUUUAUGCGAGAAAAGUGUGGUGAUCCUUUCACCCGGAGGAUGUCUUAGGGAAACGGCACUUGUUUUGGUCUCUACGGCAGUCUCGUUGCUUCAUCGGCCAAGGGUAGUUGUACCGGCCAAAUUGCUUUCGGGAGGGGGUUGCGACGCCCUACGCAGGCCUAUUUGUCGCAUGGUUGACUUGGAACAUGUGGGGCUAACAUUGGGCUGUCUGAUAGCACAUGAUCACUUGGUAUCGCACGGUUCAUCUAUUAAUUUUGGGAUUCCCUAAAAUUUUUGAUGCAGUUCAAAUUUAAUGGAACAGGAUGAUUAAAAGAUGAUUUAAUAUAGGCAAAAAUUAUGUACUGACUGUUAUCGUCAACGACACUCGGAUUUCGUGUACUUCUUCCUAGAAGCACUAAUAUGAUGAUCUGCCAGUUUGUUUACCUUUCCAUAGCCUCCGGAUCCAAUGUUGAAAUGAGCAAGAUGGUUUUCAUUUGACGAUAUAAUUUGCUUCAAUCUAAAUCAUUGCAUGCAUCAUUGAGGAUAGAAUCUGGACAGCCUUAUACCUAUUCGUCUAACGACUAACGACCCAGCCAACCCAUGCCUAUCUAUCGGUGGGUUGUGAAAACUUUAAAUAGAAUAAUUAUGUCAUUAAAGUCGAUUUCUGCCUUGCUAAGCUAAGCACUUUAAAUAGAUUAAUUAUGCAUCACACAGCACAAGCAUUCAUGCCACGCGCAUCACAUCACAAUUUCCAAAAUCAGAAUUGACCUUGGUGGAUCAUAUAUUCUGUCUCUAAAGUCUAAAAUGUUGAGUUCCUAGUUCGCAGGUUUGUUAUCCAUCAAUUGCUAGCCCUGACCGGAGAAUUGGCCAAACCACCUAAUCCUCUCUCUAUCUCUCUCCCCCUUUCUCAUAAAUCUCCACCCUUCCAACCCCCAAAAACCCCCUCCGAAAAAAUUAUUGCACAAAGUAACAAUAAAAUAAGCAAUCAUAUCUCAAAUAAACGAAAUAAACCUCUUUGAUCAUAUCAUAUAUCACAGUCAUGGUAAAGGAAACAAUGACCACGGCCAAACAAAAUCAUGUCCAGAAAAAACGCAAACGCCGAUCCGGCUCCAUCAUCAUCACCAUCAUCUAUCGGCAAUAUAUAGAAGGAAGAAACAAAAGGAUACUCCAAAAAUAAAUAGAAGAAAAAAUAAAAGGAACAGAUGGAGCAGCAGGAGAAGGAUGCAUCUGAUCUCGUCAUCCUAUCUGAAAUCAUAUGAUUAAAAAUCAUGCAAUAAUUGGCUAUUUUUUAUUGAGGACGAUGGGGAGCACGAUGAUGAGGAUGAUGAUGAGGAGCAAGAUGAUGGCAAUGCAGGUCCACUUGCGGGUGUUCUUCUGGUGCUUGCGGGCCGUCUGGAGCUGAUCGGUCCCGCGCCUGACAAAGGAGUGGGCCCGCCCGACCUGGCUCUCGAUGUCGUCCAGAUGCUCCCCCUGCGCCGCCACCAGCACGGACAUGUCCAAGAACACCUGCUGCAGCUCCAGCAGGCUCCUCUCGAGAUCCGCCGCCGCCCCGUGCCUCUCCUGGAUCUCGGCUAUCACGUCCAAAACCCUCCCCCUUCCCUGCUCCUCGAUCGCCCUCUGCAGGAACCUCUCGCCUUCUCCCGUCGCCACCAGGGUCUCCACCGUCUGCUCGUCGGGCUUCUCCCCGGUCACCGUGUAGUAGCGCCGCUCGACGGACUCCCGGUAAUCGGCGGCGACCCUCUUCCGCAGCUCGACGAAGCCCUCCAUCGAGUCCUUCAGCUUCUUGCGGAGGCCGGCGACGACGGAGGUGCGGGUGCGGUCCGUGGAGGUGCCGGGGCCGCACCCGGGAAGGGAGCGGUUCGCGGCGUUGGCGCGGUCGAGGGACUCGAGGCGGAGCUUGAUGAGCUUCGCCUUCUUCAGGGCGGUGGCGACGUCGCCGUCCAUGCGGGCGCGGAGGUCGCGGACGGCGGAGGCGGCGUGGAGGGUCUUGGAGGCCUCGUUCGACUCGUGGAGCCGGUGAUGGAUGCGCUCCACCUCCUUGAGCUCGUCCUUGAUCGCCUCCACGUCCUCGAAGAACCUGUCCAGAUUGGCGCCGCCGGCCGCGGACGCGGACGAGUUGCGGCUCAUCUGGACGUCGCCGCUGCUCCCAUCCGCUUCCCGCCUCCACGAUCCCGAGAAGAGGCUGUUCAUCGUAUCUUAACUUCCUAUUUUUGUACCUCUCCUAGAAUUACUCCGUUCUCCGAUGUGGGACAACCAAUUCGGCCGGCAGUGGUCCGGAUGAUAGACAAGAAGAAGGAGAAGGAGAAGAGGGGGUGGGGAAAGAGGAGAAGAGAGACGGGAAAUAGAAGGAAGCUGGCCGCCAGGAUUGGGAUUUAAUAAAAGAGAGAGAGAGGAAAAAAAAAACGCGGCUUUGAAUGGGCCGUGGUCAUAUAGGCUUUCCUUCGAUGGGUUUUCGGUCUCCGAUAGCGGGAUGAAGGAGAAGGGCCACUUCGACUCCGACGACUCGUCAAAGUCUCCGAGUUGGGGGACGAUGAGAGGAUCUUUUGAUAUCCCUACCCGGUUUAUUUGGUCAGUUGACCCGAUUGAAGUUUCUAUGGGCGAAAUCUGAAACUCGACGUUAUUUCAUUACAUCAUGAUGAAGUGUAGAUCAAGGAAAGAUGGGUGGAAAAUAUCGGCACCGUUGUGAUUAAUGUCUUCCCUCCUCACCACGUUGGUAAUGGCCGGUAGUGGCUAGAAAUUUUUUUAAAAUAUAUAUGUGGGCCCCAUAAUGUCUUAUUUGGAAUUUUCAUUUAAUGGUCAACGCGUGUUAGAAUUAGACCGUGGAUCAUCCUUUCUUGUUCAUUAGAAGGCUAACCGGUAUAUUGGUUGCGUACCCACCAAUGUUGUUUUUCGUACAUUUUCCGAGCUGCUUCCACCCAUCUUUUGCUUUGCUGAUUCGUAUGUGAUUUGAAAUAAUGGGGUCGUCUUCUGGAUCGCUAUAUGAGUUUUGGAUUUCGUGUUAUAAAGUUCUAUAUCGAGCACAAGUGGGUAUUGGAAGGAGACGGAUGGGAUCGUCACCAAAUUAUAUUUAGUCUCCAUAUUGUUUUCUUUGACUCAUUCUUCCAAUUAGGAAACGCUCUCUCUCUCUCUCUCUCGGGCAUGAGGCAUGAUGUGGGGCGAAGCGAUAAGGCUGCUUCGUGGAGGUCUUUUCUUCUGUAUUUAAUUAAUUGUCUUUCGCUUCGGCUUUUUGUCCGUUUCAUUUCGCAGAACGCUUCCAGAAGUGCCUCGUCAUCAUGCCGGUUGUCGUUCGUUGAAUAUUUCCAUAGGCCAAUUUAUUUCCUUUAAAAAAAAAAUUGGACUUUUUUUUUUGUUUGCAUAUAUAUCUCUUCCCCUUGUAAAUUAAUCGUACAGAGAGAUCCGUUUUAGGUAUUUGCAAAGGGAGAUUUUUAGCUUGGAAAUUUUACACUUGACUCUUUGGAUCUUCCAGCGAGUGAACUACAUUGCUCCUCAACAUAAUUUGAUAAAGAUGGGAAGAAUGGAGUGCUAGAAAUGGAGGCCAAAAAUUGGAAUCUUUGACCGGUACUUCCUUUCUCGAGUUUCCUUCUUUGUACGAGUAUUAUCUACGGUUGAAGAGGUCAAAUAAGUAGAUUGGAAAGAAAAGAAGGGACGGCGAAAAUAUGGAUCCAUGAUAGUUACGUUUAUGGAAAAUUUCCGGGUCAGUGUGUUCUCAUGAUUGGCUUACUUGAUGCAUCUCUUCUUGGUGCAAGCAACAAGAUGAGGUUCCAUAGUCCAAUUAGCUCUGCCAGCCCUCAUAUUCAUGGAGUCCGGCAAACAUCCUUGCAAUUUUUACCUCCAAAGCAGUCACAGGACUGCUUCUGAUCUUAGUUCCAUGCUGUCAUUUUUCUGUGACUUCCAUGCUGAUGUUUUGGAGGAAUAAUAUAUAUAUACCAUUAAUGUCAUGGGUAAGGUGAAAGUGACGACAUUUCACUUUCAAAUACACCUUACUCUGGUUGAUAUUGUUUGUUGAUCACAAAAAUCAUUGUAAACUUGGAGAGUGAUGAAACCCUCCAGGCUCAGCAGAAUGCCCUCCACAGGUCAGAAAGCCCUACUUUCUACUGCUUCACUGAAAAUUGCUUUAGUUUGGAUCUCUGGUUGGAUUACUGGGCUCAACUUCCUUAGACUCAAGCAGAAAAAACACACAGGAAAAAAAAAAACAUAAAAAACAAAGUACCAUGCUGAAUGAGCAUUAAUUGCAUAAGCAAAAUAUUUCUAAACACAAGCACAGAUCAAUAUCCAACCCUGACCAGCAAGGAUCUAGCAAAUAAGUAAACAAAAGCUUACGGGCAGGUAUUUGUGCUGCCCCAUAUCAUUCACCGACCUCUCAGUCAAAAGGAUCAAAUUCUCCUUAAAAGGAGAACUGAAAACUAUUAUUAAACAUAAUUGGCUGACUUAAGAUCAGAAGCAGCGGAUGCUAGGUUAUCAUUUGAUAAUAUGGACAAAACGUACUCCUCCAUGUUCAGGGCAAGUCUUUUCAAGGGCACCAUGGACCAAAAGAAUCUUCAGGCUGAAACGAAACAAAGGAUACAACACUAGCUGCUGAAGCACUGGACAGUGACAUGAAAUUUCAACUAUCAGCUGAUGAUAAACACAUCUUGGCUUCCAUCGUUCAAAUUAUAAUUUACAACUAUGAAAUAAGACAAUACUUCCAACUGCUGAAUCAUAAGUUGCAUCGUCGCACCAGCUCAAGAUGUUUCAACUAGGGCACUGCAGUGCAGUAAGGUAGAAAGGAUGUCCUCGACUUGUACCAGAAGACCAUCUUUUUACAUCAUCACCAAGUACUUCCUCAGAAGGUUUUAGCUUCCAAUGCAAUUCAUAAUUUGAUAAAUCAUAUGUCCCAGGCGUAAAUAUGCAAAUCCUAAGAGGAACUUCGGCAGUGCAUGCUGGCUCCAGUUUAAGCUGAGUAGAGCUUGCCCCACACCAAACAUAGGGAGAGAUGCUUUCAGAUAAUGGCUUCCAUGGACGGCUUGCUUGAACAUUGGAGAUUACCUUAAUUUCAUCCACCAGAGAUAUAUCAUGCCAUCCUUGAUUUCCAGAAGGAUCAGAAGACUGAACAGCAUCACUUAUUUGGUCUGUCCCUGGCAGGGUAUCAAAGGUUGUGAGCCUGAUGGACACACUGGUUUCAGAACAGUUGCGGAUAGUCACACGGGCACUAGCUUCACAGAAAGAAGUGGAGAAAUCGUGAUUAAUCAUGCGGGGCCCAUCCAUUAGCCACCAUAUUGGGCUCUUGCUGGUGAUACUGGAAAACAGAAAGGCAAGAAAUCCAUCAGAACAUACUAGACCCCUGGAAGCUCAUGCACAACCCAGCAGUCAUCUGGUUUUAGCUCUUGCCUGCAAUGACAUGAAUGACUGGACAAAAGUUGUGAUGAUGCUUCUGGCGCAACGUCUGGAUUACCGCCUAGGAUGCUUGAGAUUAGGAUGAAGUCAACAAUGCUUGGACUUCCCUGAAUUGCACAGUACAAUUGAUGAAUCCUGUCGAAUGCUAUGCUCAAGAGAAGAAAGAACAGGGUAGUAUCAUUCAUUUAACAUUUCAUGUAUGAAAUUACAAGCAUUGCAACAAACAUAUAUUAGCUCUAUAGGUAGUGCAACCAAUAGCAUCUAUUGCCGAUACAAAUAUGUGUUAAAAAGUUAACAUCUCCUAUGCAGAUUAUAUAUUGGGGGAUAUCUGCUAAGCAGAACAGACAAAGCAUACCACAAAAAGAAACUAACAUAAGGACAAAACAAUGGGAAUCACAUUUCAAGAACCAUGCAUCACUCAUAAAAUUUUAGGUAACAUCAUUAUGCAUUUAAUGGAACGACAUUCCACCUGAAAAGCGACAAAGUCAAAUGACAUUUCCAGUAAGAAUCCAAUGAUUUGUCAAAAAAUGAUGGUGAUACAAAUGGUAAAGUUCCAAGAGAGGAGGGGAUGGCGAGAGCUUUAGAGUAUAACAGGGAUUUCAAAGAUCUAAACUUAUGCAACCUUCAGGCAUAAAGUAACAAGACUUUGUACAAUUUUCAUCACAAAUUACAGAAGAAAAUAUUAAGAUAGAUCCUAAGGUAUCACUAUAUUUGGAACAUAUUGCAUUUGGAAGCAUCAAGAUACAGAGUUCAGGGUUGUGAAGAACCAAGAGUCAAAAAGUUGAAGUGUUGAUAAGCAUCCCAAAACAGAUGGCAAGAUAUUAAAGAUUUUAAUGUCACACAGUUCCAGUUGUUGGAGCAUUUAGCAAAUUAAUUCUUUUUAAAAAAAAUCAAGGGAGUCUCAUAACCCUGUUCAAACAGCUUGAGAGAAUGAAAAGCUCCAAAUGCCUAAGUAUUGAUUAUAAAUGUGUUAAAUUUCCCAGAACUUGUAGGCACCAAACAGUUUAUUCAACUAGCAGUAAAAAAAUUGUUGAAAAAUUAUGCAACAGUUCAUAACUUCAUACUGAUUCAGUUUUACUAGAGCUAUGUAAAUGAUAUUGAGAAGUAUAUAGAUAACCAGUUAAUAUAAUUAAAAAAGAAGUGGAAUCUGCUGAACCUGCACCAACUUCCCCUGGUGAUAUCGUUCAUGGUGGUGAAAAUCAACCAAAGGUGACCUGGAAAUAUCAACUAAAACUUUAUUGCUUCCCUGAGGACCCAGUAGUACAUCACUUCCUUGGACACCGAGAUUUCUUUCUUUAUUUGUGCUUCUACAAUCCUGGAACGCAAAUUAAUUAAUGGAGUUUUAAAUACGAAAUGGCAAUGUAAGAUAUUUUGUAUAGCCCAUUACUUUUUAUUUCUAUAAUUUCCAUAUCCCGAUUAAGAUCUUGCUAUAACAACAUUUUUUUCGUUUUUUUUCUUGGGGUACAAUAAAGCUUGCAAACCUUUAGCUUAAAGAAGCACGAUAAUGCUUGACCAGCAGAUAAAGUUUGUGUUGGGCAGAUAGAAACAUAUGCUGGCAGUGUUGAUAUCUCCAACUGAUCUCCGGCACAUGACAGCUGAUUAAGACAGAAUGUCUCCGAACUUGUCCUGUUCACAAUGUCCAAGCGCACAAGAAACUCCUGCAACCUCGAUGGGCAAGGAGUGAUCAGGAAUGAUACAUCUAACGAUGGCAAUACCUGCAAAAUGAAGCAAAUAUUACUUGAGAAUUCACAGUUGCAAGAGUCAACCUGAAGAUCAGUAGUCCAACAAAAGACUCCAAGAAUCAUAAUGAACCAGAAACCUUAAGAAAUCAUUUGUUAGAAAACAAUAUGUUGAGAAGGAUAAUGACUUGUAGAAACAUGUUUGGAAGAACAAGGUCAAGAAUUACAAAGUAAAAUCUUCUAUAGAAGAACUUUAAUCCGGGAAAGAAAGUGGGAGUCUCAUGGUGGUCAUCUCCAUCGAACUGGUGGAUUCAUCAAAAACAAACUUAACAUAUAUGUCAUCUUGGGUCAUAGUCAGGUUGUCAUAACAUACAAAGCAAACUCUUGAUGAUAUAUCCUUUUGUAAUGGCUCUAAAACACAUUAAUUAUGUGUCUUCAAGAUCACACGGAUGGAAUAGAAGGACCAUGAAUUUCCCCCUUUUUCCAAGAGCGCCAUGAUCUUCUAUGAUAUAUCAGUAAAUUUUUAAGAAUACAAUGAGAUCAAUUUCAUGGAUCCUACUUCUACAUUGGCUCCUAUACAGUGCAACUUCAAAACAAAUGUCUUUAACUUUUUCUGACCUUCCGAUUAAAUUUUCUUGAAACUACUCUCCAACACGUUGAAGAGAUUGUGGGCUAUCCCCUCAUGAUAUUUAUACCAAUUGUCAUAGUUGAAACUUGAUACUCAUCAAUAUGUUUCGGGAUGGGUUGAGCCCAGAACCGUAACAAGGCUCUUGCCAUUCCAAUAGUAAUCAGUUAAAAUCAACCUUGAUAAUAGAACCUCAUAGGAAUUUCAUCUAUGAUUUAUAUCAGAUAUAACAUAUAAAGUGCAAGAUGGAGCGUUUCGAUCAAGUUUACAAUUAAAUGUGAGGCGAAUUCCCAAAACAAGGUAUUAAUCUACAAAAGAAACCUAGAAGUCAGUAUGUGAAGAAGAUAAUGGAAUGAGAGAAGUUGUUUCAUCAUUUCACAAACUCAAGCUUAAAUGAAAUUACAGGACUAGUUUCUCCUUUUAUAUAGGCCUAUUUUCAACUAAAGCUGUAUUGGUUCUGCUGCAGAAACAGAACUCUAAACCAAACAAUAUCAAAGAAAAAAUAAUUUUUAAAUACACUAUGAAUCCCAUCAGUUAAACUUGAAAAGUAAAUAUAAGGAAUGAGGCCAUAUGGUGGCUGGCCAACCAAAUUAUUCUCCAUAUUGUGGUUGGCCACUUCUAAAUUCUCUCCAAAUCUUCCCUUUUUCUCCUUUUCAUCCUUUCUUUUCUCCUAUCUUCUCAUUUUUCCAUUUUUCCUCCUUUCUUCUAUCUACACUCUUUUCUAUCUUUCUGUUCCUCUUCUUAAAAACUAUCAGGCAUCUUUCUAUUUCCUCUUCUCUUAGGCGGGAGGGUCCACUUUGAGCAACUGGAUCCCCCAAAGACUUAUUACUACCAGCUGGCCACUUAUUUUCUGCAGAACAAAUGAGAAAACAGCAAAACUAAUAUAAGAGAGGUCUUUUAGCAGAAUAUUACACCAAAGCCUCCAUCCCAUCUAAUGCCAGCUCAGAUGAUUCUCAAAUUUUCAAAGCAAUGGAAAUGUUUUACAAGCAAGAUCAUAUUACAUAAAUAAUCAUUUUUAAUCUAGCAGAGCAUUUAAAUAGAAAUAUUCCAACAAAUCAGUAGACAAUAAAAUAGCUUUUUUCUUAGAAAUUUUAAGAAUAUUAUCAUGCCUAAUUAAUUGUAUUUUUGUAUAAAUAAUUAGAGUUACACCACAAGCAUGCACGCAUGCAUGCACACACUUUCAAACCAUUAAGGGAUCAUUCUUGGAGCGUCACUUUUUGUUAAACAGUUAAAGCAUACAAAGGACGUGAUGCUCCCAUCAGGGAAAUAGACCAUACCAAGCUGAAGCAUCAUAAAACCUAUUUCUCUCUUCCCCUAUUCCUCCUUUAUAGCAUAAUUCCUAGGUCAAAACUCUACAAUUAGGCCAAUGAAGUUCUUGAGAUUGACAAAUAAUAGGCACUAUUACUCGCAAAAAAUCUGCAAACCAGGACAAUUAACAAAAAACCUUGUUAACAUAUCUUAAUUAACUUGGAAAUUUAUUGUUUAUAUGGAAGGGGCACUAAAAUAUUUUGCUAAGUUGUCCUCUCAAUAAAGGUACCAAAAUACCAUCCCAAUCAAAUGGUUACUUUAGAUUAAAGGCUCUAUUGGUUUAUAACAUCAUAUUGAAAAUUCAAAUGGAAUUUAUACUAUAUAUGUUCUCUCAUUUCAUCUAAACAAAACUUUCAUAUCUUUAUAUUUUCUAUUUUACGAGGAAAAUAAAUCUCAUAUAACCAAGAAUCACUGAAAUCCUUGCAAAGAUCUAACCAUCACCCAUCAAUGCAACAACUAUGUCUGCCUCUUCGUGAAUGAUUUUAGAUUUUUACAAAUCACAUUCAGUAUUCUAUCCAUACUACAAACAGUUUUUGCUAUUUCAUGUUGUUUAUAGGCCAGACCAAAAUUCUAGUUGGAAUAAAGCUUGUAAGAUGGUUGUUCCAGACUAGCAUCCACUCAAAAACAAUACUUCAAAGGUGUCAAUUCUCUCCCUUUUUAUGCUACUCCAAGGUUUGUUCUAAAUCAUAUGGUUGGCUGGCUUCGAAAGGGUGUUAAUCCGCACGGAAUCGGAUACUCUUGACUUUGUUUUUCCCCAAUUUUGGAAGAAGUUACCUUGACAUCCUCAUCCAUACAGCAAUCAUCUUAUGAGGGUUAAUAUUUUAUGCUCAACAAUCAAAAUGGUCUUAAUUUCAUCUUAUAAAGCUUCCUGCUGAGCAUACCAUAUGUGGUGACUUUAAUUCCUUUUAUGCUACUUUUUGACGCUUUAUCUUUUGCCACAUGUAGCUGGGAUAAAGCAGACUCAUUGUGGGGUUUAUUUGAAAAUUUCAAGUUAUAGGGCUUAAUAGUCAAUACAUGUUUUCAUGCCAAAAUUAACUUCCUCGUACUCUUUUAGUUCAAAUCAAAUUUAAAUUACUUCAAAGAAUUCCUUCUUCAUUCUGGUUCAAUUCUCUCCCCUAACCCAGUCUGAUCAACCACACUUAAUCAUUUAAAAUAACAUAAACAUGAGGCCAAGUCCUGAAUGCUGGAAGGAAAUAUUAGCACAAGAUUUUCAUAGACAUGCAGGCAGAAAUUCAACAAUUGAUUUCCACCAUGGAAAUGCUUUGCUUGCUGAUUAAGUUAAAAAAAUGGAUUUCAAGCAUUUUCUGCUACAGUUGAUAUAAUGUGGUUAAGCACUUAGCUAGCAGGACCUAUGCUAAAUCAUCUUAUCUAUCUUAAAUUUAUAAAGGUUUUUUCGCAUGUAUACCCUCCUAAAUAUAUGAAAUUGCAUGAAUAUUCUCGUAAAAUUACUAUUUGUAUGUAUAUCCUCAUAAAAUACUUGUUUUGCAUCCAUUUUUUUUUCUUUUUUGCAUAUAUACCCGUGCCAUCUAACACCUUAAAAUUAAAAUGACUGAAAUACCCUUAUGGGUAGACGUGCAAAAAAAAAUUAUAAGGGUAUACAGGCAAAUAGCAACUUUACGAGGGUAUUCAUGCAAUUUUUCAUAUUUAGAAUAGUAUACAUUCAAAAAAUCUAUUAAAAAUAUAUCAAACUCGGAGACUUGCUAAGUCUUUCAUGAUUCAGUCGGAUCAACAAGUCAGAAAAAGAUCAAGUCACAUUGUCAAUUUUCUUAAUUUAAAAUCUUGACUCGAUCAAGUUGGAAUAUUAGAUGAUCAUCAUGGUGCUAUUCUCCUUUUAAUAUUGAUAUAAUUAUCAUUAUUGAAUCUAUGACAUCUAUAUAUUCUUCAUUAUUUUUAAAAGAUUAAAGCAUAUCGAAUUUAAAUUAAUUAUACAUACUUAGAUUAGCAAUAGUAAAAUAUUUUUUAGUGAUUUGUAAAUGUUGAGUUGUUUGUUUGUUGAGGUGAGAAUUUCAUAAAAACAACACAAUUAUUCUACAAGAGUUGACAUUAACAUAAAAUGAAGCGACAUGAUAAUAGUAAUUUUGUUGUCACCUUUUUUUUAUUAAAAACAACUAAAUUAUCUUUAUGAAUUUUGUCAGUUUUUAUUGGAUUUUUUAAGGGUAUACCUCCCUAAAUAUGCAAAAUUGCAUGAAUACCCUCGCAAAGUUGCUAUUUGCAUAUGCAUCCUCAUAAAGUUUUCUUUUUGUGUCUACCUAUAAGGGUAUUUCAAUCAUUUCAAAUUUAAAAUGUUUAUUUUUUAACGGCGCUAGACGGUAUACAUAUAUAAAAAAAGAAAAAAUAAGGGUAUACAUAUAAAUAAAUAAUUUAUAAGGGUAUACAUGCAAGUAGCAACUUUACAAGGGUAUUCAUGUAAUUUUAUAUAUUUAGGAGGUUAGAUAUGCAAAAAAUCCAUUAAUAAAAUGUACUUACCCAAACAAAUAAUCAAAUACAAGAGCGGCAAGAAUACAGCCCAAUGUAUAAGAAUUAAGGAAUAAUGUUUUCUUUUUGCUGUUCUUCGGCUGUCUUGUAGGUUUAUAGAAAAAUUAACUUAAGUGUGCACUGUCACUCACAUUUGGAAUGCAACAUACGUCUUUUGCCGAGUUCUACAUUUUUUCAUAUACUAAAAGUCUAAAAGGUGCGAAUGAAGCCCCACAUCCUUCUGUUACUAGCGUAGUCUAAAUCCACAUGUAAGUGCUUAAUACAUGAUAUGUGAUUGUAUUUAUUUGUCUCUCUUUAGGAUUUUGGGUAGCACACAAGUGAAUCCAAAAACUUGCAUCAAAGAUAAUUAGUUUCAUAAAGUUAUCCAAGAUUAAAAUACAAGAAUGGCUGUAAUGAAGCCAUAAACUAAAUUUCAUUGUCUUACCUCCAAAUUAUAAUGCAUGCGCAGUGUGCGAUAGGUCAUGUCGCUAGAACUUUCCAUCUCAUAAUAUACUGAUAUAUAGAAGGAAAUGCUCCCACAGAGUCCAGCAUGAAACCAAAGAGGCCACAUAAAUGUUGUCCCCCCCUGAAUACUAGCAUCCUGCAGAUAUAAAGAUAAUAAACUCUCAAACCAUUGAAAGAACACUAUAUUUUUCCAACUAAACUGGAAUAGAGGGCUUAGCAUGCCAGUGUCAUUCUCUGCUCACAUUGGGAAAUGAGAACAAAAGGCCCCUCGACUUCUCCAUUAUAUUUCCUGGUACAUCAUUGCUCGCAGAACUUAUCCGCUUUUCUAGACACCGAGGAAAAUCCAGGUUUAGGUCCGCAGAGCUCCCAGGAAUCAAGAACCUUGCAUGACUAAUCUUCAUUUUCAUGUUCUGCAAAUUCCCAAUUCGUUUAAGCAAGUUGAGUUUGAGCAUUUGCCAAUGGUACAAUGCAAUAAGUAUUUUCAUUCAAGCAAUCAGUACAUAGGAGGAAAAUGGAAUAAGUUCCAUCAGUUACAGCUGACAUACUGUCUCUAUAGCUCAGAGAAUGCCUAAAAAUUGCUCCUAAGCUACAGCAUUAUAGAUUUAGAAGAAAUUUAUGACGUAAAAAGGAAAUAAUAGCGCUGCAAAGCAAAAAGUAACAAAUGAUCAAAGCAUCAAGGAUCAGACCUUCACUGAAUAUUCUGACUGGUUUCUCAGUUCCAGCAUGAGAAGCCGUAAAUCACCUGUAAAUGCUUUUUUCGGUAGGUGAUGAACACAUCCCUCGAGUUUGGGUAGACCCUGAAUAUAAAGAAAGAGGAGUCAUUAUUCUUAUUCUCCAACAGAUACCAAAGAAGUAGAGGAAAAAAGGGAACCUUGAUCACAAUAAAAUUCAGGUUCCUCUGCAAAGAAUGCCUAGCUCCCUUUUUCCCUUUCUUGUUUUUCAUUGUAUCAAACUCAAAGUACUGAUAACCGACGACUGAAUCUGAUAAUGUCCACCUCACUCCAACUAUUUUCAGUAUACCUUCAACUCGUGGAGUGACUUUUAGUUGUAUCUGAAAGUGAACAAAAAAUCACAUAUUUUGUGACAUGUAGACCGAAGAUUGUCGACGAAUGAAAUUUUCAAAAAUGGUACAUUAUGUGUAAAUUCCAAUGUCAUGAUCUUGAUCAGUAUAAGUUAAAAUGCCUCAAAAGGCAAAAAGAAGUGCUACUACAAUCCAACUACAAUACUCAACAGAACCAUAAUGCAAGGAAACUGUCGUUUUAUAGCUCUCACCAAGCUAUAAAUGUGGAGGUUGAAUGUAACUCUAGGCACAGAUGUUAAACAGGGAGCUAGAUUGUGAUAAUUUAGUAAUGGAGAGGUAGACAUUAUAUGACUGCGACUUUUCAUAAUGGUUAAAAGAUAAAUGCAGGAAACAUGUUUCUUAUGCAAUUAAAUUUUUGUGGAAAAAUGGAUUCUAUUUGGUUUACCUAAAAUGGGGAAUGGAUCGGAAAACACUCAUAAAAUACCCAUAAAAGCCCAGUAUAAACUGAAAGGAGCAUAUCAAGAAAAACAAAAAAAAAUCAAAGAGAAUCACUUCUAGACAUUUUUCUUGUAUUUCCCAUAGUUCCUCUUGUAUUUCCCACAUAAUUGUCGCUUGUUUUGCAUCAUUGUCUCCUAUUUGUGACUGUUAAAAUUUAUUGGAUACCUGGCUUUUGUUUCUGUUUCACGUACUAUUUCUUACACCUGUUUCUGAAAGUGAUGACUAUUGUUUAAAAUGCAAACAUUGUUACACUUGAUUUAAUUUUAUGCCAUUUUCUUCUACAUACACAAUCUGCUAUUAAAAUUCAUGAAGAACUCACAAGUCUACAACUAUUCUCAGAAGGGUCCCCCUAGAAUAGACAAGAAACUUCAUUAGCAUUUACUGCUUUGAAGUAGAGUCAAUCAACUACAUCAUCAUUAAUAGUAACCUACCUGUGCUCACUCCAAUGCCACUACUACCAUCCGAAAGACAGAAAAGUAAAACCAUAAAGAUGUAGGUCCCGACUCCUGACUCUCAAAUGUAAUCAAUCAAGCAUUUAACUCAAAAAGCUGGCAUCAAAGGAACACACCUCUUCUGGAAACCCUUCCAUGCAACCAUACCCGAUUUGCUUCAUCACCAAUCAACCACUUGUAUAGGGCAUCUCUUUAACAUUUUUUAACAGGUAAGAAUUAAAGAAAAUUUGUAUUUGAGAAUGGAAAGUAACACCACUAUAUUUUUCCACUAAAACCUCCCUAUCUGUAAUGCUCUUUUUGUGGACAACUGAUAACUCAGUAUUCAGCCAACUAAUAAAAGCUAGAAGACAUACUCAAAAAAUUUUAUUGACUACCGCAAGUUUUCCUUAUUAAAUAAUAGAAUGAUUUACUCUAUAAAACUAUAAAUCAAAUAUAUAGACAUACUUCCAUGUAUCAGGAUAGAUAAGCUACCAUGUUUGAUACUCUGUAUCAUACACUGAUUUGAUUGCAACUAAUCCAUUUUUGCAUACAUUCAUAAUCAGGCACUCAAGUUCAUGGAAGAGGUUAAAGUACAUGAGAUAUUAAUUAACUGCAAAGCAAGGGAGAUAUAGCAUAUACAUGCAGGAGAUAUCAGAGUUACUGACUGGAUAAUCCAAAUUCAAAUCCCUACUCGCUACCAUUCUAGAAUUUUAACAAUUAACAAAGAAAUCUUCUUAAUCAAAUACUUACCCUUUUAGUCUCGCGUCCUUUAAGAACAAAAUCAAAUUUUGAUAACAUGAGGGAAGAGUCAUCACUAGAAUCCCUGCAAUGAGCAGCCAUGAAGCAUUUAGUAGUGGCAAAAGCAAAGUUAACCAAUGUUCACCAUCUCAUUACCAAACUGGUACCGGUACUAUGAUGGUAUAAUAUUGGUACCAGUGUACCACCGAUAUAGACUUGGUAUGGCGUACAAAGUCUCGGUACGCUCCCCAUAUGGAGUCUCUGUUCGGUAUCAAUACAGUACGAUACAACCGGUACAGGGCGGUAUGUAUUGGUACGACAAACUUUAAUGUCAACAAAUUCAAAUAGGAGAUAAUCAAAAGGAUUUUGAGGUGAUCCUCGGUGCAAUGGAAGGUUGCUCUAUUGUGACCUAAAAGUCAUGGGUUCAAAACAUGGAAACAACCUCUCCGCACAUAGGGUUAAGGCUACAUAUAUUUGACCUUUUUUAGACCUUGCAAUGGCGGGAGCCUUGUGCAUUAGGCUAACCUUUUCAAACAAUUAAAAGGAUUUUGGCAUCAGAGAUUAUUUAACAUAAACAAGUACCUACAACUAGGAGGCUUUCUGAAUUCUGCAUCCUCCUCAAGUGCUGUUUCUGAUGCACUAUUAUCUGCAUAAUUGGUUCAAGGAGCAAAAUUUACAAACUUAAAUCUAUAUGAGACAAACUGCAAUAUGAACAUAGGCAAGUUGCAUACCAAAAUUUGUUGCCACAGAUUCUGCAGAGAGUUCGCAUAUAAGAGAAACACCAGAAACAGAAAUUGGAAUCUGAAGAGGGUUUUUGAACUCAAGAUCCAGUUUUAUUGCUUCUGCAUAAAUAUAUUCCAGGUUUCAGGACUAAAUUCUUAAGAAAUGCUAAAAUGUUAUUAACUGUCAAUUCUUUAACAUUUACUACACAAUAUUAUGAUGCUACAAAAUAUGGAUAUGGAUUUGGGGUAUAGAUUCCACAUGAUAUGAAUAAGCUAAUAUACGAAAUUCUGAAAUGAUAACAUUUGAUAAUGCUGGGAUAUGGCAGUAAAUAAAUAAAUAAAGUGUAUGUAUAUGUGAAAAGGAACCUAUGAAGCAUGAUAGUUUAUCACAAUGACAAAGCUAUACUUCAUACAAUAACAUCAACAUUCACAAGUUCCAUCAUUUAGUCAUCAUUCAAACUCAUAGAUCACAAUCUAUUCCCCAUUCAGUCACAUCAACAUCAUAAAGUCUAAAAUCAGCCUUCCAUCACUAGAAGGUCAGCAUCCAUCAUUAGCCCUUCUGCAUCCUCCGAAAUAUUCGGGAAGUAUCCUGGGUGUAUCUUGGGCAUAUUUGUGCUUCCUAGCAAUGAUGGAAAGAGAUUAGAUUGCAAUAGGAUUUAUACUAAUUUUUCAAUGAUCCUCCUGUUUCUGCUAAUUUUUCUCCAUUCCCUUUACAAGCCUAUUUUCCUUAAGCAAUCCAACGAUAGGAUAUUCUGAAAACAGAUUGUUUGAAGAAAAGAGUCACACAGCACAUUCCAUCCACAUAGCAUAACAAGGCCUACUAAAAGUACUUUCUGCAGAUACGUGCAUGCCAACACCAAACAAAGAAAGGACUCAAUGCAAGUUUUGAUGGAGGUCACCAGUCAUCAAGAAAAAAAGGUCACCCCAUAUGUUCUUCUACAUCAAAUAAUUCGUUAUAUAAAUUAACAAACAUGCCUCCUAAUUUACAACAUCUAAACUUGUUACAUGAAUAAUGUGAAAUAUACAGGUAGAUGAAAGAAGAAAAAAAAGCUUGCUGCAUAAAAUAUGAUUAAACACAACAAUUCAGUUCUAUCUCGUCUCCAGUCGCUGACAAGCCUUAUCACCAAAUAUGGGUUAGUCUUGAACUUCAAUUGUUUACCAUUAAGGGUUAAUAACUUUCAAGUUCUACCAAUUCCUCAAACUUAGGUAGGUUUUAAGCUUCGAAUUCUUUUCUAUCUAGGGCAGAUUCCUCAGAUUUCCCUUCUGUAACCAACAGGAGUAUUUCCCGCUCUUUCUUAGAAAACAAGGAUCAUAUAAUGAGCUCCAAAGAAGAGAAUGAAUAUCCACCAUAAGAAUUAAAAACAAGGUUCCCAAAUCAUAAAACAUAUAUUACAAAAAUUUACUCUUAGUUGGAAAAGGAAGAGAGUAACACAAUCAUACCCUUAAGUGUAAUUUAAACUACAUAUGAAUGCAUUCAAACAUCACAAUUUUAAUUAAAAUAAAGACAGUAAAUCAGCAUUCGACGAACCGACCUAAACCAGGCGGUUCGACCCAUAGCAAUCCAAAUCAACAGCAAAUUAGGAUGUUUCGGUUCACAAAACCCCUCCGCUCCCCUGGUGCGAUGAUUCAACUAUUUGCUCUCUCUCUCGAUGAUUCAAGAGCCUUCGAGAGCUCUCUUACUCUCUCUCUCUCUGUCGAGUGCUCGCUCACGGAAUGCUUAAACAUGCUCUAGGUAAGCCUCCCCCCUCUCUCCCCCUCCCUCUCUAUCUCUCUCAGCCGGACACUCGCUUUCUUGCACUCUCUGCUCCCUCCUCUUUGACAUCGUGACAACGUUAGCCACCCUCAAGGUAGCACCCCUCCCUCCCUCCCUCCCUCCCUCCCUCCCUCUCCGUUGGAUGCUCACUCGCUCCCCCCCCCCCCCAACCUCGACGCCCUCAAGGUAAGCCUCCCCCCUUCUCCUCCCUCCUUUCUCUCUUUCGCCCUCUCCCUCCCCAUGUUUCAGUGCGCCCCAACUCAGUAUGUACAUAUCGGUACCAUACCGAACCGAUCACCAGCCAAUGCGAGCGCCAGUAUCGGUCCAGCGGACCUUGCAUAUUUAUAAUAACAAUUGAUCUCUAACUUUUUUUACAUGCAGCAGUUGUAUAAAUUUGUCGCCGAAAAGAGAACUUUUAUGUUCUCAAACAAGCUGCUUUCUUAGGUCUAAGCUAGUUGUAGAUGAUGAAUAUUUUUUGAUGAUAAGGGACAAUGUUAAUAAUAAACAAAAUCAUUUAGCCUUUUUCCAACAAUUUGGAGUCAGCUUUAUGGAUCCUCGUUCGCUAAAUAUUUCUAUUUAGCGCCACUUUUCAUUUUAAGGUUUGUCAUACCAUACCGAACUGAGUGGUGCGGGGCAUACCGUACUGUAUCGGUUCAAUAUCGGUAUACGGUACGACCAACACUCAGUACGCCAAACCGGCCAUAUACCGUACCAUACCGACACAGUGAUAGUGUGGCACCGAUAUGGGGGCCCCUAGCGAGACAACAUAUCUUGUUUCAUGUUAUUGUAAGUUUAUUUAUAUCUUUCCCCACAACCUCCAUCGAUGUUAGUUUAGAUCUUUCCCUCUUUUUGUCACCACCUUCAAUACAAACCAAAGUACCCCUUCUUAUUGAACCCUUUUCAAACCUUCGUUGUACAUGUUCAUACCAUUUAAAUCGAUUUUCCAUCACUUUGUUCUUGAGGAAGUAACGAAAACAGUCACUUUGUGGCAUCUCUUGGUUUACAUUUCUUCGUUUCCAUUCUCACUAAAUUUACAUUCCACAAGCUAUGUAUUUUCUGCAACUAUCUCAUCAUAUAUAUACUAGCUUAACCAAGCAUAAAAAACUGCGAACAGCUCUUUCCAAAUUGAACACAGUUAAUUGCACUUCUACAUUAUAUAUAAACUCUAUGAAAUGCAUAUUGAAAAUUUAUGUAAUUGUGCUUAAGGAUAAGAAAAUAAUGUGAUCAAGUGUGCAGAACUGCAGAUUCAUUAAAAAUGUUACAGUGUAGCAAGUUCCCUAUCAGAAAGAAAGCAACAGAUUGAAGAUUCAAGGUAUCCUACAUAUAAUUCCAGUUCCAGACUACCUGUACAUGUAUAACUACACUCUAAGAAUUGUUGCAAGCAAAACCUCUUCUUGAAGGGCCCAGUUGCUUGCAAAAUCACAGAAACGGGAAAGUGCUAAGUUAAUAGUUUUACUUUUACUGAUACUUUAAGACAUUUCAAGUAGAAAACAUUAGUUGAACAUUUAUAAACAUCUCAUCCCAUACAUACUGACACAUUAAUGGACUGGCCCAUCAGUUGAUUGCUAAGAGAAGUUUGCUGAUAGUAGUGAUUGAAACAAUGGUUUGGGCCAUACCAAGGUGUAAUUUCAUCACUGCAACUUAGUGGUUUUUGAAUAUCUGGCAUACUGCCCAAGGCUAAAAUGCCAUGAUAUCCCAUCUUACGAUAAAAUAUUUGCCAUGCCAAUAUACAAGCAUAGAUGUAGUAGGAUGGGAGCAAUUUAAGAUAAGGAGAGGUGUGUAUUGGAACCAAAGUUUUAAAUCCUGUGGGAUGGGGUUAUUCCGGUUUCUCCAUAGAACAAGAUGCUCGCUAUCCCGCCCUAUCCCGGCAGUGGUCCCGAUCAUGCAUCCCGAUAGAUAUCCUCCAUCUCUCUCCCCUUCUUCUUUCCUUUCUUUCUUUCUUUCUUUCUUUUUCAUAUUUCUUUGUUUCUUUCUUUCCUUCCUCUCUUUCUUUUUCUUCUUUCUUUCCUUCCUCCCUCUCUUUCUUUUUCUUCUACCUUCCUUUCUUUCCUUUCCUUUUCUUUCUUUUUCUUAUCCCCUUCCUUUAUUUCUUUUUUCCUUUUUCUUCUUCUUUCUCUUUCCUUUCUUCCUUCUUUCCUUCCUUUCUUUUUCUUCUUCUUUUUCUUUCUUUCUUUCCUUUUUCUUCUUCUUUCCUUCACUUUUUCUUUUUCUUCAUUCUUUUUCUUUUCCUUUUUUUUUGUUCCUCUUUCUUCUUCUCNNNNNNNNNNNNNNNNNNNNNNNNNNNNNNNNNNNNNNNNNNNNNNNNNNNNNNNNNNNNNNNNNNNNNNNNNNNNNNNNNNNNNNNNNNNNNNNNNNNNNNNNNNNNNNNNNNNNNNNNNNNNNNNNNNNNNNNNNNNNNNNNNNNNNNNNNNNNNNNNNNNNNNNNNNNNNNNNNNNNNNNNNNNNNNNNNNNNNNNNNNNNNNNNNNNNNNNNNNNNNNNNNNNNNNNNNNNNNNNNNNNNNNNNNNNNNNNNNNNNNNNNNNNNNNNNNNNNNNNNNNNNNNNNNNNNNNNNNNNNNNNNNNNNNNNNNNNNNNNNNNNNNNNNNNNNNNNNNNNNNNNNNNNNNNNNNNNNNNNNNNNNNNNNNNNNNNNNNNNNNNNNNNNNNNNNNNNNNNNNNNNNNNNNNNNNNNNNNNNNNNNNNNNNNNNNNNNNNNNNNNNNNNNNNNNNNNNNNNNNNNNNNNNNNNNNNNNNNNNNNNNCUCUCUCUCUCUCUCUCUCUCUCUCUCUCUCUCUCUCUCUCUCUCUACCAAGAGCACAAAUUCCACAAAAUCGCACUCGGCUUGGCAUCCACAAUCACUUCUGAUAAGAGAGAAAUUGAAGCAUUCUAUUAAGGUUUAUGCAUAUUAUGUAUGUUAAAAGGAACAACACAAUACCCAUUAAACCAUACCUCCUGCCACACAAACACAAGAGUUAUUGUAUUUUUUCAACGGGGAGGUUUUUGGCUGUGAAUCUAGCCAGUUAGAUUUGACAGUGGAUAUCGAAGGAACCAUUUCUUCCUCCAAAGCUUGCCACAUGCUUUCACUCACUUGGACCUGCUUGAAAGAAACAAUUCAAUAUACAAGUAAAGAAAUGAAUUUAACUUUAUUCUGCUGACAAUAAAAGACAAGCAGAUAAAAGAACUGUAUCUUGUGUUAAAUGAUUAGUUGAAGCAUAUGACCUUUUAUACAAAACACUUAAGCAAUAAAAUUUGCAAUUUAUUAACAAUGCCAUCCCAUUUGUAUAUAUCCAGAUAAUAUAUAGAGCAGGCAAUGGCUGUUUUUACAGGAUUUAAUAAAAAUUAAACUAACACUAAUAUGAAUCCAUUUAACGUCAGUUUUUUUUCACCUAAUCCUAAAAUUAGCCGAAUGAAAUGCCUUGCUUGACCAAUGAUAAAAAGAAACGACUCUUACCAAAAACCUUAAAAUCAAUGUGCUAUCCUUAUUGCAUUUAAGCUGUUGGGUCAAGAAAAAUAAAGCCAGCAGCCCAGCACCAUAUAGAUUGAGUAAGGCUUGCAGAUAAAGUUGAAUUUAAUGAGAAAAAUACAACUAAGCGUCCAUUUGGUAUUGCCUUCAUUUGUGUUUCUGUUUUCAAAAACCCAAGAAUAAAAAUGAACUACAUCGAAAUGAUAUGUAUGAUAAUACCCUUCUAUUUUUUUAAAAAAAUAAACAGUUCGUGAAACUUUUAGAGUUCUUGGAAGCAAAGGUUGAUUGCUUCUGAAAAAGAGUGAAAAGCAAUGAAUAACAGAAGUUUCAUGCAAAUGCUAUUUUCAAAUCAAUUGGCAUGGGUAUUUCACCAUUUUGUAGAGAAACAAAAACCCAAGCAAUAAUGAUUCCGAAAAGGUCCAUAAUCAACAUUACAGAAGCAUAGAUUCCAAACUCUCUGACUAGUACAUUAACAGUUAACUAUUUUACUUCAGAAUAGUUUCUACUUUCUUUUACUGUGCAUUUGUUACACCAGAGAUGACUAUUUCUCGUUUACUUUGUCAAUUGAAAUAGAAAUGCUGAAUCUGAAUGUAUGAAUAAUUUGGUCAAUUAUUACCAUCAACAUCAUCAUUCGUUUGCACUCUGACAAUUGUCACUAACAACAAAUACAAAAUUGUGGACAGGAUAACUAUCAGUAUCCAAUAAGUAUACAGAGAAGGUCAUAAAUAGGAAACAAUAGAGGUAAUUUCCCUAGCACCUUCAGAAGCAGAACCCCACUGGAGACUCUUCAUUCCAGCUUCAGAAAAUAACCCAGAAAUAGACGAAAUUUCAAGAACAUUGCAAUAAAAGUCACCAAAAAAGAACCAGCACCGGUAAGUAAUGAAUGACAACAUCUACCACUAUCAGAUCCUCGCAAUGGAUAGUAUCAAGGGAUAUUAUCAAUAUCAGCAUAUGAUGUGGACAAGACAACUAUUUUGAACCCAAGAUCGCAAAUGGAGAAUAUUUAGUUUCUGAAGAAAGAAACCUAAUUGUCCACUGUGACAGAUUUUCUACUGACUCCAGAACCAAAACAUCACUAGAGGCCUUGGAUUCAAAUUUUGAUCUAGUUAGAAAAGGACAUGGAUUGAAAAGCAUAAAGACAUCAGGAAAAAGAAAUUAGAAACAAGCUUUGAUAAGAAAGAAUGACAAGUUUUCACCCCCAGCAGUAUGGGUGACAUUAAAGGAACAUUAUGCUACAGGGGAGAAGAUGAUAGCUAGUACACAAGACCAUGUACAGAGAAUAUAAGUAACUUUUAGAAGGAAAGCUCAAUGUGCAAGUAACAUGUUCCCAUCAACUCCAGAAACAGAAUCUAUUUGAAGUUUUUUCAAAACAAAGGUAAACUUAUGGUUUGAUAACUGUCCAUAGGAUAGGAGAAAACCACCAGAAACUAAUUAUUUCUCAUUCAACACCAUGCACAAUCAUCCAUGAAAAUCUGCUGAACAUGAGUAAUCAACUUACAUCUGCAGAUGAUGCAUAAGUCCGAGUAUCUUCAUAAAAAACUUUGAGUGAGGCCAUGUUGAUGACAGGAAGUUGAAGCUUGUCUACCUCAAAUAUCUUGCCCAUUCUCUGGUUUGUUCAAAACAGCAGACUUGUCAACAUUAUAUCCAGCUGCUCAAAAAGAACUUAAGAAUUUGUAACCAUUACCUGAACAACAUGAAAAAAGUCACUAAGAAAUAUAGUUUGCGUUGCCAAGGACUGAUGGCUGCAUGCGAGAACCUCCAGCAUGUGCUUGAUUGCAAUGUCAAAUAUUCCAAGAAAAGCAUACCACCUUAGGUAUAUGAAGGAAAUGAAAUGCCCCAGAUUAAAAAAUUUAUUAUGCAAAUAUAAAAAAAACAUAAAUUUUAUUUAGUACCUUCCAAUAUUAAAAUGAACAUGAUUAGUGAUAUAAGUCCAAGCAUUUCCUUUGUACACAAAGAGUGCAUUUCUGUAUGCUCGAAUUGCAUGUUGUCUCUGCAUUCAGCAAAAUGAAACUCAGCAUGGACAAAGUCUUUACAAGCUUCUAAAUGUCAAUCAUAAAUUGCAUACCUGUUCAGAGAUAUAGUAACGAUUACCAGCCAGAAUAAGAUGAAAUCCAUAUUUGCGUAAUAAUGGUGGAUUGGAAAACAAAUAGCAAUAUGAUGCCUGCUCAAGCAUUACAGCUGCAUGCAAAGAAGGUUCCUGUAAAACUAUAAUCUGUCAGCAGCAGAUAUAAAAGCAAAAGUCUUUUUUCUAAUUCUUAAAUUACCUCAUUAGAAAUGCGGAAAUAUACACUGGCUGCCUCCUUAUACUGGCCUCUGGUCUUGAGCAUUUCUGCCCACCAGAGCCCACAUCUUGUUGCAUUUCUUUGCCCGGAAGACCCCAUUUUCUGUAUGGAGAAUGGUCAAGCAUCAAUUAAGUGGAAUUGUUAUGCACAGAACCAGAUGACAGUACAAAUAUUAUAGUGAUUUAACAAAAGAUAUUCUAAGCAUCAAUUAUGUGCUUGUCUUGAUCAUUGGACAUAAAACUUAAGUGACUGAGAUUCCAGGCCUGUUUAACCAAAGGAGAAUAAAUAUAGAAGAUAGGUAACACUUGCGACAAUAAACUAAAAAGUUCAUCUUGAGCAACUCAUGGCUUUUGCAAUACAGAUAUCAGAUGGCCUUCAUAACAAGCAAACCUCAAGGAAUAAAAAGCAAAAAUGUCUAAAUAUUCCUUACUUUAUGUAAGUGUUCAAGGUUUUCUAUGUGAAGGUAAAAGAUGCCAAAGUCAUGACUACCAACAUUCAACAUCAUAAAAGCCGUAAGUCGGUACAUUUUGCCAAGUAGGGUGCUGCACCCUCCCUAAGAUCUCAUAAUCUAAAUUCACUUCGUCACCCACUUCCCAACUUCAGCACUCUAAUUAUCACUAAUGGAAUAUUCAAUUGCCACUAAAUUUUAUCCAAGUUAACCUUAGUUGAAUCACAAAUGCAAUCGCUUGAAAUUUUAUCUUUUCUGAAUAUCUGAAUCAUGUAGAUCUAUAAUGUUUGCACUGUCAAAUGCAACUGCACACCGAGCUUGAACAUCCUCAACUAUUUGAAAGUUUUUCUGUCUGAUUCCGGCCCUUGAAUUUGUUUUACACCUACUCUCAAUAGAAGCAACUAAAUUCUCGAGCUCCAAAACCUUCUAGUAUAAGUAUCCAAUUUACAAUUGCAAGAUCAUCAAUAUUGAGAGAUAAACUGGCCAGAGCAACUUAUUCAAUAAGUUAGCACAGGCUUCCAAAAUUCCUGAUGAUAAAAUAAUAACUUAGAAGUUCCUAAUUUUGUUCCAACAGAAUAUCACUUUCACAAUCCAAUCCUUCAAACAUCAAUAUAGCCUCUCUAUUUGCAUAAUGCAAGAAAUGCCAUCCAGUGUCACGAUGGCAAUAUGAAUCUGCAAGUCUGAUACAUAAUAUUCACACAGGCUCACAAGACUUCUAUAUUAACAAGCACCAUAUUUUGGAUCAUAAAAACUCAAACUUCCCCUUUAAGUUGCUCUCAUAUUUGUUGAUUAACAAUGAUAAAAAUUAUCUUUUCUUUUUCCAAGGCAUGAAGAUAAAAAUCAGCUAUUCCAAAUGGAAUAGUCAAUUACAAGCAAUGAAUGACAAAACUGGAACUUCACCCAAAACAAAUAAAUUAUUUGGAUUUAGGACCUGACUAAACUACCAGAACAAAACUCACAUGUCAACGCCCAUUAUCUCUCUACUAAAAUUCUUUCAAAAUCCUCAAAAUAAAGAAUCCAGAUUUUAUAUGGGGGAAAUCACUGCAAUUAUCUGUUACAUUCACAUAUUAUAUCCUUUCACUCUAGUUGGCACACCAAAUUACUAGAACAUAAGCAAGAAAUUUAAAGCAUAUUUUGAGAAAUCAAACUUAGGAAUAUGGGAUAUGGAACUGUAUUAUGAAGUAUACUGUCCUUCAAUCAUAAAAUCAAACUUGACUAUGUUAAUUACAUAUUAAAUCAUGGUAUGCCGAACCGGCCCGUACCAGCCGGUGCGAGCCGGUCCAGCCAGCUACCGGUACGCUGGAGCCGUGAAAACUGGUACAGGCCGGUUCCGUACCGGAGACGAAGAAGAAGAAGAGAAAAAGAGAGAGCACGAGGAAGAGAGGGAGGGAGACCACCUGUGGCCACCAUCGGAGAGCUGCGGAGGCGCAUCGAAGGCCGGUGGGGGGCGGCAGAGCCCGGCGGGGGCCGGGGGAACCCGCAAAGGCGCAGCGGAGGCCGAGGCCAAGGCUGCGUCUUUUUAAUUUGGGGGUUUUAAGUGAAGUCGACAUAUCGGUUGCAACACCCUAGUAUUAUCCUGAUGGGCAGUACAACGACCCUGGCUUGCCCAAGCUAGCAUGGGCUUGCCCGAUUUCAAUCUGAAUUCACUAGUAGCUUAUUUGGCCAAGCUUGGGCUCACACACGUUGGGUUGAGUAUGGGCCUAGUUGAUCUUCAGCCAAGUAUCUAGUAACCAGGCUGAAACCCUUGAUGUUAAAUUAUCAAAGCUUUAUAAACCCUUCUCCCUUCAAAAUUUCAAAUAACUUCUUAACCCCGAAUUAUAUCGCCUAUUACCAUAUGCUAACUCUAGAAACCUAAGGACAUGACUUUAAACACCUCUUUUACCCUCUAGGCUGAAGUGAGUCCUCACUCCUGAUUCUUCAUUCCAGACAAGAUGUCCAAAAAGUCUAUGUAAAACCUAGCAAUCCCCUUUCUGCUUUACCUGAAACUGAGCACACAACCAUUACUUCUCUAAGUUCCUGCAUCACAUAUACAGUGAACUUAAAAUAUAAUGUAAUGAUCGAUUGUUUUCAUUUAAGAAACUACAUAAAAGGAGAAGAACAAAGAGGCGCUGAUAGAAGCGUCCAAAAGAGUCAUUAAGAUAUGUUUGAGGAUUUGAACAUGGUAAAAAAUGUAGAAGGAUAGACAGUGGACUUCAAAUAGGUAAACCAAGGUUCACAGUUCUCCAAUGUUUCAGAACAUUGUAGGUGGUAGACUGGUGCCCGGGAGGGUUGCCUAGAAUCUGUACAGAUAAAGGUCAAGAUUGCCAAAGCUAAUAUGCUCAAAAGUUCAAUAGAUAUAAGGAGAAACUUGAAAAAAAUAUAUAUUAGAAUCUAAGAAAUGGAACAUAAAAUUAUCAAAGAAGAUGUAGCAAGUCAAUAGGAAGANNNNNNNNNNNNNNNNNNNNNNNNNNNNNNNNNNNNNNNNNNNNNNNNNNNNNNNNNNNNNNNNNNNNNNNNNNNNNNNNNNNNNNNNNNNNNNNNNNNNNNNNNNNNNNNNNNNNNNNNNNNNNNNNNNNNNNNNNNNNNNNNNNNNNNNNNNNNNNNNNNNNNNNNNNNNNNNNNNNNNNNNNNNNNNNNNNNNNNNNNNNNNNNNNNNNNNNNNNNNNNNNNNNNNNNNNNNNNNNNNNNNNNNNNNNNNNNNNNNNNNNNNNNNNNNNNNNNNNNNNNNNNNNNNNNNNNNNNNNNNNNNNNNNNNNNNNNNNNNNNNNNNNNNNNNNNNNNNNNNNNNNNNNNNNNNNNNNNNNNNNNNNNNNNNNNNNNNNNNNNNNNNNNNNNNNNNNNNNNNNNNNNNNNNNNNNNNNNNNNNNNNNNNNNNNNNNNNNNNNNNNNNNNNNNNNNNNNNNNNNNNNNNNNNNNNNNNNNNNNNNNNNNNNNNNNNNNNNNNNNNNNNNNNNNNNNNNNNNNNNNNNNNNNNNNNNNNNNNNNNNNNNNNNNNNNNNNNNNNNNNNNNNNNNNNNNNNNNNNNNNNNNNNNNNNNNNNNNNNNNNNNNNNNNCGCACCGGUACGAUUUUUUUUUUUAGAACCACAGCGCCUCGCGCUGUGGUUUUUGAAACCACCGGUACCGGCCGGUACGUACGGUACCGGUCGUACCGGUCCGGCCGGCCACCGGUACGCCAACUGGUACCGGUACGGCGGACCUUGGUACCGACACUAUGCUAGUGUGGCACCGAUAUAGGGUCCGGUACCAUGAUGACAAACCUUGGACUUAAUAUAGUAGUUCACAAGUAUUUCUCACACAUGCUGAAAAACUGGUAUAAAUAGUUAAAAAUUCAUCCAAGUAAGAAAAAAAUACUAGGCAUUUCGAGCUCGCUAGUUGCAUCCCCACUAACUAGAUUGUGUAUCUUUCACUCUCAGCGAAUGCCAAGUGUCUUCUAGAAUAAUACUGCUUAUAAACUACUGUAUUUGUCUUCUUUUUUUAAAUCAUAUGUGCACACACAUAAUUUAAUUUUGGUGUACAUUUAGUACUUCCACAAUUUUAUCUAUCUUCCUCCUUUGAAAACUUAGUUCCAUGAAUUUCAAAUUUAUAUAUUAGUAAUACUAGUUGUAAAACAUGAACUUAUAUGACACACAAGUUAAAACUAUGCAAUUUGCAUGUCAAAUAAUGAUCCUCAAACAUAUGCAGGAUAAUAUUUGAUGAAUCUAUAGAUUAGUUAAAAUUUCAAAAAAUUGAUUCUUUGGUAUAAGUUGGAAAGAAUGAUUAAAGAAGCAUACCCAGAUGUUUCGAUUAGGGGUGGCAAUUUUUGGCUUGGGACCUGCCAAACUGCUCAAAAUAAAUGGUGGCUUUUAUAAUUGGAUCAGUUUUAGGUUAGUCAAGGAAAAACUGAUUAUAUAUAGGUGUGGGCCUAGUGGGUCACCAUACAUUGGACAAGCCCUUAAAACCACAGCCCUGGACUUCUAGGAUAGUGAUAUAGCAUGGUGGCCUGUGUACCAGUCAAGGUUUGUUUUGAAUGAUUAUAAAGCCAUGUACUUCAUGAUUAAGUAUAUAAAACUCCAGAGAAAAGUGAAGCAGGAAGCAUAAGAUUUAUAAUGUUCAGUUCUCCACUAUAAUUUUCUCUCUCUCUCUCUCUCUCUCUUUAUAUACAAACAUAUAUAUGGAUGACACACCAAGAUCCCCACUCCUUAACACUAUUCCAUUUCAUUUUUCAAGGAAUAUGACUGAGAAGUGAAGCCUUAAUUUUGUCGAUAGGCCAGCUAUAGGUCCAUAUAUAGAGUAAAUGGGUUGGGUAUGGGUCCAUUCUUUUCAAUCCAAGUAUAAAUGAGAUGGUAUGGGUUGAAUAUUUUAUUGACCCUCCCAGAACCCAACCCAACUUGACCCAUGGCCACCCGUAGUUCCAAUUAUGUGUCCAUAUACAGCAAAUAGGCAUUUAUGUAUGCUAGUUUGUGCCAAGUCUAGGGGAACUCUGAAUGAUUGCUCCUUAGUUGACUGAGCUAAAUCUGCAACCAACAAGGUAGAUAUCCCAACACGGCAAGGGCCAUAUAGGUUUUAUGGUAGGCUGCUCGCUUUUCUAAAUCUGCCUUGGCUCGACAUUCUGCACAAAUUUCCAUAGGGUUGAUGUCAAGCAUAAUCGCUAGUUGAAGACAUAGUCACUCCUUCCAAGGAAACUUCUCAUCUUUAAGUUAUGCUCUAUAGUUGACUCCAUAUUUGAUGAGCAAAGAAUAGGAUAUGAUAUAUUUUCUUCAGACCAAUAAAAGAAAAGUCCAUAUCCACUUGAAGCUCAUUGAGGCACGAUGCCUAAAUACCAAAAACAUCCUCUCAUGAGUUCUUGCAUUCAUCGUUUCUAAUGUCAUGUCCAUACAAUGGGUGAUCACGAAGAGGUUGAUCAUAUCAACAAUAGUCUAAUUUUACCUUGAAUUCCUCCACCUACUGGCCCUACGAAUGAUCAUCUUAGGCUGCAUUUGGCAUCAUUGUCACUUUUCCUUUUAAAGAAAUCUAGAAACACAAAUUCUAUUUCUAUUUUUUUUCAGAUUUCUGACAACAGAAAACAUGUUUGGCUCACUCUUUUUUUCACAACAAGGGCCAACGACGAGGGAGAAGAAGGGGGGAUGGGGCCGGCAACAUGGUCAAAGACAAAGGAGAGCUUGACGUCAGGCGGAGAGGCAAUCGAGGGAGCAACAGAGGAAAAAGAAGUGGGGAUGGGGCCAGUGAUGUGACCGGGGAUGGGGGAUAGCUCGACAUCGGAUGAAGAGAUGGCUGGCGAGGCCUGGAGAGUCAGUGCGGUGGGGCAAGGGGGGACGAGGCUAUGGGCGAGAUUGGGCCAAAGAAGAGGGGUUGGGAAAAGGGUGAAAAACCACUUUUAAAAAAACUGGAAGUGAAUUUUUCACUCACUUUUUUCCAGAAACAACGAAAGUUGUUUACAAAAAACAGAAGCAAAAACAAGGUAACCAAACAUGUUUUCUACAUUGGAUUUCAUGUUUCUGUUUUUAGAAAAAAAAACAUGAAGCAAAAACAGUACCAAACAAGCCCUUAUCAAGUAUCUUUUUUCAAGUCUCACCAACAAGGAUGGUGGAACCGUCCCGAACUAUCCGGUACGGGAUGUACCGAGCCUACCGACAGCCGACCGGGACGGUUCCGGCCUUCAAAUCAAGAGACCAACAAACGAAGGCGCGAGGGAGAAGGAAAGAGAGGAAAAGGGACAAAGAGAAAGAGGGAGAGGGAGAGGAAGAAAAGGAGGGAGGGAGGCAGAGAGGGAGAAGGGCGGGAACGCCGGAUUAGGGUCCUUCGUGUGUCGAAGCAAGGGCGAAGUCCUUGUUUCAAAAGGAAGCAGGGGCUUCGGCCCCUUUCUAAAGAAAACAAGGCAGGGCAGUGGCUGUCGACUUCACUUUAAAAAAUUCAAAAAUAUAUAUAAAAAGAAGGUCCAAGCCCUGUUUUUUUUAGUAAACAGGGACUCCUCCCCUACUCCAACGCACGGAGAGAGAACUUCGAAAGCCCUCUCUUCCCGCUCCCUCGGCCCUGUUUCGGCACCAUUGUCCUCUCCCUCUCUCUCCCUCCCUCCCUCUCCCUCUCUCUUUUUUCUCUCUUUCCUUCUCCCUCUCUCCCUCACUCCGCNNNNNNNNNNNNNNNNNNNNUCUCUCUCUCUCUCUCUGCCGCCCUUUCCCACCCACCCUCCCUCCCUCCCUCUCUUUUCCUCUCUCCUCCCUCUCCCCCUCCUUUGUCGAUUUCCCUGUCGGUUCAUGCUAGAAUAGCAUGGCAUGGAGGCAUACCGUACCAUACCGCCUACUGGCAUGGGUGUCGGUUCCAGUACUGUGGACCUUGCUCACCAACAUCCACAACCACAAAAUAAUCAAAGGAAUGCAAUUCAUCCACCCUGCUUAUAUAAAGUUCACAUAGAAGGCCAGACUUUAUAACUCCAAGGAAAAUAUUGAACAUAUAGAGUUGUAACCAGAGGUGAAGAGUGGAAUGGAAAGAAACAACUUCGCCAAGACUAUCAAUUAAUUGCAACUUGUUGUACAACAUAAUCAUUGGAAAAUAAGAGGACUGACAUCCAAUAUCAACAGCCACCUCGCCUUUCUCCUCCAAUGGGAACUCUUGUUAGUCAAUAAAGUAGUCACUACAACAUCCUCCUCCCUCUCCAACUUCCCCACAAAACUUGGGGAGAAAAUGUGCUAAGCAAACAAAGCCAAGCUUAUGUGCUCAAAAUCUUCCUAGGGAUGGCAUCACACGACCAACAUCACGGAUGAAGUAGGUCCUUAUUAUGUUAUACAUUAGGUUGUAGUGAUUCUACCUCAAACACAAACAAAUCCUGUAAAAGAAAAUUGCCUCACUAUUUAGCAUUUCAAUU